rnacentral:snRNA from 1 species
GAAAUCUCGUGUGGAACAA